rnacentral:rRNA from 1 species
ACUCUCGCUGCCGGAUGAUCUUAGUCUAACAUCAGGCCAUUUGCAAACUGAUGCUCUCGAGUAGUUCGGCUAGCCUGGUAAAUAAGUUCUCUGGAAAGGGACGACUAAGAGGGUGAAAUCCCCGUUUUUGGCCGGAGCAUAGUCUUGCGUUUGCUCGGAAGCGAAGAGUCAGGUUGUUUGGUAUUGCAGCCUAAAGUUGGAGGUAAAUCUCUCCUAAAGCUAAAUAUUGACGAAAGACCGAUAGCGAACAAGUACCGUGAGGGAAAGAUGAAAAGCACCUUGAAAAGGGGGUCAAAAAGUACGUGAAAUUGCUGAAAGGGAACCGUAUGAAAUCAGCCUGUGUCUUUAGUAAUCAAUCUGGGCCUCGGCCUGGAUGCACUUGCUAGUGACUCAGCUUGCGACAGUUUGAUUUGGAGGAAAAAAUCAAGGAGAAUGUGGCCUCGACUUCGGUGGAGGUGUUAUAGCUCUUUGAAAAAUACUCUGGAUUGGACUGAGGACUGCAGCGAGCCUUUGGGAUGGACUGUGGGCGCUUGUCUUUUAAUAGGAAAGAAUCUCUGCUUCGGGUGGUGCUUUUUUAUUAAAAGGCAACUCGCCUACUUUUCCUUUUUCUCGCUAGGUCGCAAGCAUAAUGAUUUUAUAUGAC